rnacentral:rRNA from 1 species
AAAAGCUACUAAGGGCACGUAGUGGAUGCCUUGGUGCCAAGAGCCGAAGAAGGGCGUGGCUAGACUGCGAUAAGCCUCGGUCAGCUGUCAAGUAAGCUUAACCGGGGAUCCCCGAAUGAGGCAACUCAUCCUUCCAAAAGAAGGUUACUCCUGGCUGAACACAUAGGCCAGGUAGAGGGAACCGGGGGAACUGAAACAUCUAAGU